AGAUAAGGACAAUUGGAUGUACACAGAUCUUGACUGAAGAAAAUGCUGAAGAAUGUACCUCAGGAAAAAGGAGAUUCCAAGUGGAAGGGAAACAAGGAAGGAUUCUGACACUUCCAGAACCUGGGAAGAAACAUCUAAGCCCGCAGAAUGCAGAAAUCUGGAAGACAAGAGUCCCGAAUCCGUGUGUGUAGCAAGGUGUGGUGGGGCGCUCAGCGAAGCGAGGAGCGAGACAAUAGGAGAGAUCACAGGAAGCCCCUGGGUGGAAGUUAGAGCAGGAGGUCCCAGGGAUGCCGGCAAGUGGAAAGAAGGAGGAGAGAAGAAUCUCAGCAGCUGGAAAGAUCACUAUGCUGCACUGCACGGAUACAGAGCUCAAGAAACUUCCUCAGAGCGAUCGCUCUAUUAACACCCAAUUGGGACCCUCAGAAGGCUCGCUGGAAGCCGCGGUGGCCGUUAGUUUGUGUGCGGGGUCAGUCGCUGGCCGCGGAGCCAGUGAGCAACUGUGGCCCGACUUCAGCAAUGGCCUUCUCCCUCACCGCUUUCUGGGGCAAGGCCACAAGGCAAAGAUCACGCAACUACCCCUCCUCCCCAUUAUCCCCAACUCUGUCUUGCUUCCACACAAGCGUCUGCCAUAGCCAAGCCCAAGAUCCAACAACCUGUGAAAUCCCGAAGUAGAUGUAAUUUUCUAUGUCGGAGACAAACUGAAUUGUCCAGGAAAAUAAAUUUAUAAAUGCUUCACAGCUCCUAGUGAGGAUCAUUCUCAGGGCGGAAAAAGAGCAGAGUUAGUGUGGAAUCCAUACUGGUUACGUCAUCAUCAAAUCCUCAACACUUCGGGUUCCUUCAUUUUAGCAAAAAACAUCUGGAAUUGCAUGUUGCCACAGCUCCAGCUCCUCAAAUUAUCUUCCUCAAUUGAACUGGUUUGGAGGAAGAUCAACCCCAUGGUUUAGAUGGCUUUGGAGCACUUGGAAAAAUUUAAGAGCCUUGGAUUAUAACAUUCAUAUUCAAUUCUGAGAUGAUGGGAAAAUCCUUUAUUGAGGAAACGCUUCCAGAUCCUUAAGUAAUAAAACAGGAAGAAAGCAGAAUCCAAAUGCAGCAGCUGAGAUAGAGAAAUCUACGGACCAGUCAUAUGCUUAACAAUCUAGAUACAAUGAGACAAAUGCUAGAACAUGCCAAGAAAACAGCAGCCAUGCAAGAAAUGAUUCAAAAAAUAAAGCAAAAUUUUGAUAACAGGUUGAGUGUUUCCCAUGUGGACAAAUGCUUUAGUGGCUUGAACAAUGACCAUCAGGACCAAAAGGAGAGUCUGCACAAGAGCAGGUUGGCGGUGAUUCCUCUCCUUCCUUGCUGAGCCUUCCUACACAGAACCGUGAGGCACUUUAAACAGCCCAUGGCCCACAGCAGUUCCCUUAGUUCCCCAAAGCUCAGCAACUAACAGCAACAGCAUAGGGGGCUUUCAUCCCUGGCAUCCCCCACUAGAGUUUUACUGCACCAAAUAAAGGACCUAGGAUGGAGGAAUAAAGAAUAUCUUGCAACAGAUAAUUGAAAACCCACAGGUUAUGUGCAACGUGUAGGCUUUCUUUUCUACAAGAGCCACAGCACACUGAGAAUAGAGAAUCAGAUUCUAGUCCUUUCUUCUCCCUAGUCUCAGCCCCUCCUUGGGUU